UUAUCAUUUAGAGGAAGGAGAAGUCGUAACAAGGUUUCCGUAGGUGAACCUGCGGAAGGAUCAUUGUCGAAUCGUGCCCGACCGGAACGACCCGAGUACCUACGUUAUCUCGUCCGAGGGGAGAGGAGGGGCAUCCGUCCAGUAAUCCCCCCUCUUCGGGUGGCGCACUCGUCGCCUCCCCGCGCAUUGCGCUCGAGGACGAAGGGACGUUCCUGCGCCGCCCGAUCGAACAACCAAACCGGCGUGAUUGACGCCAAGGAACGUAAACGGAAAGAGCUUGCUCUCCGGGACGCCUCGUGUACAGAACGAUCGUGUCCCGGGUUGCAACGGCAUCUCCGAUCUAUGAACGACUCUCGGCAACGGAUAUCUCGGCUCUUGCAUCGAUGAAGAACGUAGCGAAAUGCGAUACUUGGUGUGAAUUGCAGAAUCCCGUGAACCAUCGAGUCUUUGAACGCAAGUUGCGCCCCAGGCCAUUAGGCUGAGGGCACGUCUGCCUGGGCGUCACGCACAGCGUGCCUCACCCCUCCCGCCCUCACUGGCACGGGACGGGAGUUUACGAGGGAAUAAUGGCCCCCCGCGUGUCCCGGCACGCGGUCGGCCCGAAUAUCGGCCCUCGACGGCGAGCAUCGCGGAAAUUGGUGGUCGACGAGUCCACUCUCCGAAGCCGGAUGCCGCGAUCGCGACGCCGCCCUUGCGGCCCGGCCACCCCGAAACGCCGCCUCGACGGCGUUCGCACAGCGACCCCAGGUCAGGCGGGACUACCCGCUGAGUUUAAGCAUAUC
rnacentral:misc_RNA from 1 species